UACAGAGGUCUCAAGCGUUGUUCGGAUUCAUUGGGCGUAAAGGGUGCGUAGGCGGCGCGGUAAGUCGGGGUGUGAAAUCUCGGGGCUUAACUCCGAAACUGCAUUCGAUACUGCCGUGCUUGAGGACUGGAGAGGAGACUGGAAUUUACGGUGUAGCGGUGAAAUGCGUAGAUAUUCGCAAGAACACCAGUGGCGAAGGCGGCCUACUGGUCCAUCACUGACGCUGAGAUGCGAAAGCGUGGGGAGCAAACAGG
rnacentral:rRNA from 1 species